CUACGGAGGAUCCGAGCGUUAUCCGGAUUUAUUGGGUUUAAAGGGUGCGCAGGCGGGAGAUUAAGUCGGCGGUGAAAUUUUUCCGCUCAAAUUGAAAAGUGCCUUCGGUACUGGGUUCCUUGAGUGUGGAUGAAGUAGGCGGAAUUUGUGGUGUAGCGGUGAAAUGCUUAGAUAUCACGAGGAACUCCGAUUGCGCAGGCAGCUUACUAAACCACUACUGACGCUCAGGCACGAAGGCGUGGGGAUCAAACAGGAUUAGAUACCCUGGUAGUCCACGCAGUAAACGAUGAUUACUGGCUGUUUGCGGUACAAUGUAAGCGGCUGAGCGAAAGCGUUAAGUAAUCCACCUGGGGAGUACGUUCGCAAGAAUGAAACUCAAAUGAAUUGACGGGG
rnacentral:rRNA from 1 species